rnacentral:rRNA from 1 species
GACGAACGCUGGCGGCGUGCUUAACACAUGCAAGUCGAACGGAAAGGCCCUGCUUUUGUGGGGUGCUCGAGUGGCGAACGGGUGAGUAACACGUGAGUAACCUGCCCUUGACUUUGGGAUAACUUCAGGAAACUGGGGCUAAUACCGGAUAGGAGCUCCUGCUGCAUGGUGGGGGUUGGAAAGUUUCGGCGGUUGGGGAUGGACUCGCGGCUUAUCAGCUUGUUGGUGGGGUAGUGGCUUACCAAGGCUUUGACGGGUAGCCGGCCUGAGAGGGUGACCGGCCAACUUGGGACUGAGAUACGGCCCAGACUCCUACCGGAGGCAGCAGUGGGGGAUAUUGCCCAAUGGGCGGAAGCCUGAUGCCGCCACGCCGGGGUCGGGAUGACGGCCUUUGGGUUGUAAACCGCUUUCGCCUGUGACGAAGCGUGAGUGACGGUAAUUGGUAAAGAAGCACCGGCUAACUACGUG